UACGUAGGGUGCGAGCGUUAAUCGGAAUUACUGGGCGUAAAGCGUGCGCAGGCGGUUCGCUGUGUCCUGUGUGAAAGCCCCGGGCUUAACCUGGGAAUGGCAUGGGAAACUGGCGGGCUGGAGUGUGGCAGAGGGGGGUGGAAUUCCGCGUGUAGCAGUGAAAUGCGUAGAGAUGCGGAGGGACACCGAUGGCGAAGGCAGCCCCCUGGGCUAACACUGACGCUCAGGCACGAAAGCGUGGGGAGCAAACAGG
rnacentral:rRNA from 1 species